rnacentral:rRNA from 1 species
GACAGAGGGUGCGAACGUUGUUCGGAAUUACUGGGCGUAAAGCGCAUGUAGGCGGCAGCGCAAGUCGGGCGUGAAAUCCCACGGCUCAACCGUGGAAGUGCACUCGAAACUGCGCAGCUAGAGUCCUGGAGAGGAAGGUGGAAUGCUUGGUGUAGAGGUGAAAUUCGUAGAUAUCAAGCGGAACACCGGUGGCGAAGGCGGCCUCUGGACAGUGACUGACGCUGAGAUGCGAAAGCGUGGGAGCAACAGGG